GAUGAACGCUAGCUACAGGCUUAACACAUGCAAGUCGAGGGGUAGCAGGGCCUAGCAAUAGGUUGCUGACGACCGGCGCACGGGUGAGUAACACGUAUCCAACCUUCCCUUUACUCUGGGAUAGCCUUUCGAAAGAAAGAUUAAUACCGGAUGGUAUGAUAAUUCCGCAUGGUUUUAUCAUUAAAGUUUUUCGGUAAUGGAUGGGGAUGCGUUUCAUUAGAUUGUUGGUGAGGUAACGGCUCACCAAGUCUUCGAUGAAUAGGGGUUCUGAGAGGAAGGUCCCCCACACUGGUACUGAGACACGGACCAGACUCCUACGGGAGGCAGCAGUGAGGAAUAUUGGUCAAUGGACGAGAGUCUGAACCAGCCAAGUAGCGUGAAGGAUGACUGCCCUAUGGGUUGUAAACUUCUUUUAGAGGGGAAUAAAGUGAGGGACGUGUCCCUUUUUGUAUGUACCCUUUGAAUAAGGAUCGGCUAACUCCGUGCCAGCCGCCGCAGUAAUAC
rnacentral:rRNA from 1 species